AUUCAGCUGAAGAGUCCCAAAUAGGACGAAACCCGCAUCCUGGUU
rfam:Schistosoma curassoni strain Dakar, Senegal genome assembly, scaffold: SCTD_scaffold0012401